AACACAUGCUUCAUCUUAUUUAAUCCUUGCAAAGAACUUGCCGGGUGGGAACGCAUGUGCUACCCGUUUUGUAAAUGAAGAACCUGAAGCCCAGAAGCCCAGAGAGUGGAAGUGAUUUGACCAAGGCAUGAGUCAGAUGCUGUGGAUAUAGCAAUGAACAGCCGGCGCUCAGUGAGUGCAUGAGUGAGUAAGCGGCUGACCAGCGACUAUGCAGCAUGAAUGAAUGACAGACUGAAUGACAUGAAGCCUGGAGUCUCAAGGCCGAGACUGCAAAAGAAGAGUCCAUCCUCCUAUCCCCUCUGCUCUGAACUCUCUUCAUGAUCCUGAAGGUGCUUGGUACCUGGAGACUACGGAGCCAGCCUGCCGGGGUUCUAGUCUGAACUCAGUCACUUCCCAGCUGUGUAACUUUGGACAAGUUACUUAACCUCUCUGUGCCUCUGGUCCCUUCUCUGUAAAGUGUAGUCAUCGGCCGGGCGUGGUGGCUCACGCCUGUAAUCCCCAAAACAAACAAGAAGGACCUAUCUG
rnacentral:lncRNA from 10 species